rnacentral:tRNA from 1 species
AGCCCCGUGGUGUAGCGGCCAAGCAUGCGGGACUUUGGAUCCCGCGACCGGGUUCGAAUCCCGGCGGGGCUACCA